ACCGGGGCUUUGUGGUGCGCUCUCGACGAGUCGAGUUGUUUGGGAAUGCAGCUCAAAAUGGGUGGUAAAUUCCAUCUAAAGCUAAAUAUUGGCGAGAGACCGAUAGCGAACAAGUACCGUGAGGGAAAGAUGAAAAGAACUUUGGAAAGAGAGUUAAACAGUACGUGAAAUUGUCAAAAGGGAAACGAUUGAUGUCAGUCGCGUCCUUCAGGGAUCAACCUGGCCUUCACGGGCCCGGUGUACUUCCUGUCGGAUGGGUCAGCAUCAGUUUUGACCGGUGUUGAAAGGCUUAGGGAAUGUGGCACCUUCGGGUGUGUUAUAGCCCUUGGUCGCAUGCAUCGGUUGGGACUGAGGAACUCAGCGCGCCCGCAAGGGCCGGGUCUUCGGACCAC
rnacentral:rRNA from 1 species